ACCGAGUUUACAACUCCCAAACCCCUGUGAACAUACCUUACUGUUGCCUCGGCGGAUCAGCCCGCUCCCGGUAAAACGGGACGGCCCGCCAGAGGACCCCUAAACUCUGUUUCUAUAUGUAACUUCUGAGUAAAACCAUAAAUAAAUCAAAACUUUCAACAACGGAUCUCUUGGUUCUGGCAUCGAUGAAGAACGCAGCAAAAUGCGAUAAGUAAUGUGAAUUGCAGAAUUCAGUGAAUCAUCGAAUCUUUGAACGCACAUUGCGCCCGCCAGUAUUCUGGCGGGCAUGCCUGUUCGAGCGUCAUUUCAACCCUCAAGCCCUCGGGUUUGGUGUUGGGGAUCGGCGAGCCUUUCUGGCAAGCCGGCCCCGAAAUCUAGUGGCGGUCUCGCUGCAGCCUCCAUUGCGUAGUAGUAAAACCCUCGCAACUGGAACGCGGCGCGGCCAAGCCGUUAAACCCCCAACUUCUGAAUGUUGACCUCGGAUCAGGUAGGAAUACCCGCUGAACUUAA
rnacentral:rRNA from 1 species